UGGGGAAUAAUGCACAAUGGACGGAAGUCUGAUGCAGCGACGCCGCGUGGGGGAUGAAGGCUUUCGGGUUGUAAACUCCUUUUGAUGCUGAACAAGGCUCUUUUUAGGGUUGAGGGUAGGUGUUGAAUAAGCGCCGGCUAACUACGUGCCAGCAGCCGCGGUAAUACGUAGGGCGCGAGCGUUGUCCGGAAUUAUUGGGCGUAAAGGGCUCGUCGGCGGUUUGUCGCGUCUGCUGUGAAAGACCGGGGCUUAACUCCGGGGUUGCAGUGGGUACGGGCAGACUAGGGUGGGGUAGGGAGAGCUGGAAUUCCUGGUGUAGCGGUAGAAUGCGCAGAUAUCAGGAGGACCACCGAUGGCGAAGGCAGGUUACUGGGCCGUUACUGACGCUGAGGAGCGAAAGCAUGGGGAGCGAACAGG
rnacentral:rRNA from 1 species